rnacentral:rRNA from 1 species
UACGAAGGGGGCUAGCGUUGCUCGGAAUCACUGGGCGUAAAGCGCACGUAGGCGGAUUUUUAAGUCGGUGGUGAAAUCCUGGAGCUCAACUCCAGAACUGCCUCCGAUACUGGAAGUCUUCGAGUCCGGGAGAGGUGAGUGGAACUGCGAGUGUAGAGGUGAAAUUCGUAGAUAUUCGCAAGAACACCAGUGGCGAAGGCGGCUCACUGGCCCGGUACUGACGCUGAGGUGCGAAAGCGUGGGGAGCAAACAGG